GGGUCGAUGAAGAACGCAGCUAACUGCGCGUCGUCGUGUAAUCCGCAGGUUAUGCGAACAUCGACAAGUCGAACGCACAUUGCGGCCCUCGCGACCAAAGAGUCCUGGGCCACGCCUGUCUGAGGGUCGGUUAUACGUGUAACACGAUGGUUGCGUUCUCGCGAGCGCCUCGCAGUUUUCACCGCGAGGUUAGCUCGCCCCGUGACAGACCAGAUCGAGCGUGUGUUUACGCACAUGCCAGAGCGACGCGGUUUUCGAAUCGCGUCGCUCGAAGCUGACGACUCGUUCGCGCUGACGCGGGCCAUCGCCUCCGUGCGGUGGUUAGCGUCGUGCGUCGAACGUUCGUUGAAAUACACGGCGCCGAUGCCGAGAAACAAGUUCGUUCACGAACACCGUGUUCGAAAACGUUGCCGCGUAUAGUGGUAGAGAGCGAAGGCGGUAGCUAUCGUAGAGAGCGUCCGAUGAACGGGCAUCCAGAGAGAGGUGGUGGCGAGAAGAUAUACGGAGGAUCGCGCGUGUUGUACGAUCGCGCGUCUCCGAAAAAAAAAGCUUAACGUUACCGCCGUCGAAUCUCAUACGAUGCGAAGACGUCUCUCGAAAUAGAGGCGAUAGUUUGCCGUUUCUCUAUCCACGUACGACGUUGUACGUGCGAUUGCGCGCGUUCGCGUCGUUAUUCCGGCCGUUGUCGACGAAUUCGCUCACGCGUCAUGUACGGACGCGAUGAUGACGAUCGAGAACGGGCACACAUUCGGAAGACGAUGCGAGCGUGCGAUAAUUCGCGUUAUAAGCGUACUUCGUACCAGGCUUCACUCUGUAUCACGCCGACCUCAGAUCAGGUAAGACUACCCGCUGAAUUUAAGCAUAU
rnacentral:misc_RNA from 1 species